rnacentral:rRNA from 1 species
GCUGUCUGAAUUUAUUAGUAUAGAGAGUCUGACCUGCCCGGUGCCUUUUUGGUAAACGGCCGCAGCUAAAACUGUGUUAAUGUAGCGCGAUGAAUUGCCCUUUAAUUGGGGGAGAGUACGAAUGGUUGGACGCGGUCAAGCCUGUGUCAGGAAUAAAACGUGAAAUUUCCUUCUCAGUGAAAAGGCUGAGAUUUUCAUAAUAGACGAGAAGACCCCGUCGAGCUUGGUGAGGUAAUGAAGUUUGGGGUGCCUACAAAGGGAACUUAGCGGUUUAAUGCUGUUCACUCAAGGUGUAUAUAGGUGUAAUGAAGGUUGAUAGUUGCGAGUUGUGUAGCGACAGAAAGAAUAAAAGAAAGUAGUGUGUGAAUUGGUAAUAUUUUAAGAAUAAUAACAGAAGGUAGUGUUGGGUUGGUAAUAUUUACAUUUGUCGGAUGUUGGUAUUGUGAGUAUUAAAAUGUGAGGGUGGGUGUUUUAGUGGCUGUUAAUUUUUGUAACGCUUUGUAUUUUGGGAAUAAAAGUAGUUCGGUUGGAUGAUUGGGGUUUUGUUAAGUUGUUUACCCCAAUUCGAAUAGCUUUGUUGUAUGGUGGGUGGAAACGGUACAUGACCCUUCUAGUUACUGAUGUUUUGUUGGGGCAACACGAAGCUAGAAAGAACGCUUUGGGUCACGGUAUGCGGAUCCUGUAUUGACGGAUAAUCAGCAGAAGUUACCGCGGGGAUAACAGCGUAAUUCUCUCGGAUAGGCCAUAUUGAUGGGAGAGUUUGCGACCUCGAUGUUGAAUCAGGGUAUCUAUUCGCCGCAGCAGGUGUGUAAGUGGGUCUGUUCGCCCUUUAAAACCCUACG